rnacentral:rRNA from 1 species
UCUUCCCUCUUCCUUCGUGCCUAAUACAUGCAAGUCGAGCGAACAGACGAGGAGCUUGCUCCUCUGACGUUAGCGGCGGACGGGUGAGUAACACGUGGAUAACCUACCUAUAAGACUGGGAUAACUUCGGGAAACCGGAGCUAAUACCGGAUAAUAUAUUGAACCGCAUGGUUCAAUAGUGAAAGACGGUUUUGCUGUCACUUAUAGAUGGAUCCGCGCCGCAUUAGCUAGUUGGUAAGGUAACGGCUUACCAAGGCGACGAUGCGUAGCCGACCUGAGAGGGUGAUCGGCCACACUGGAACUGAGACACGGUCCAGACUCCUACGGGAGGCAGCAGUAGGGAAUCUUCCGCAAUGGGCGAAAGCCUGACGGAGCAACGCCGCGUGAGUGAUGAAGGUCUUCGGAUCGUAAAACUCUGUUAUUAGGGAAGAACAAAUGUGUAAGUAACUAUGCACGUCUUGACGGUACCUAAUCAGAAAGCCACGGCUAACUACGUG